rnacentral:tRNA from 1 species
ACCUGGGUGGCUUAGUUGAUUAAGUGUCUGACCUUAUACUCAGGUCAUGAUCUUACGGUUUGUGGGUUCAAGCCCCACGUCAGGUU